UUUUCCUGGCUCUAUAGCUAUCAUCUUGACUGGAAACCAGAUGCUACUUAUGCUUGGAAGAAGUUAUUAAAAGUCGGGAAUAUCUUGAAACUCCGCAUUAGAUAUAUGGCCAAAGUAUCUGCUGUUAUUCGUAACUCUCAUUGGAAGUGGCCCGCUGCUAGGUCUAGAGAGUUGGUUUCCAUCCAAGCUGCUGUUUGUGGUGUGAAUUUUCCUAAUUCCUCAGCUGCAGAGAAUGUUGUAUGCACAGCUUCUUCAACUGGUUGCCUUAACUCUUUUGUUACUUGGGAAAUUGUUAGAAACAAGAAUGCUGAUGUUGACUGGUACAGACUUUGUGGUUCUCCCCUAAUGUGCCAAGAUUUGACUUUAAUUCUUGGUUAGUAAUACAUGAUAAAAUCCCUACUUUUGAGAGGAUUAACAGUUGGUCUGUCGGGAGAACAAGAUCUCUCUACAUGUUUUGUAAUCUAAGUAUUGAAUCUCACUCUCAUCUAAUUUUUCAAGUGUAGUUUCUCUAGUGAA